rnacentral:rRNA from 1 species
CCUACGGGAAGCAGCAGUGAGGAAUAUUGGUCAAUGGACGAGAGUCUGAACCAGCCAAGUAGCGUGAAGGAUGACUGCCCUAUGGGUUGUAAACUUCUUUUAUAUGGGAAUAAAACGUUCCACGUGUGGGAUUUUGUAUGUACCAUAUGAAUAAGGAUCGGCUAACUCCGUGCCAGCAGCCGCGGUAAUACGGAGGAUCCGAGCGUUAUCCGGAUUUAUUGGGUUUAAAGGGAGCGUAGGUGGAUUGUUAAGUCAGUUGUGAAAGUUUGCGGCUCAACCGUAAAAUUGCAGUUGAAACUGGCAGUCUUGAGUACAGUAGAGGUGGGCGGAAUUCGUGGUGUAGCGGUGAAAUGCUUAGAUAUCACGAAGAACUCCGAUUGCGAAGGCAGUUCACUGGACUGCAACUGACACUGAGGCUCGAAAGUGUGGGUAUCAAACAGGAUUAGAUACCCCAGUAGUC